UGAGGAAUAUUGGUCAAUGGACGCAAGUCUGAACCAGCCAUGCCGCGUGAAGGAUGAAGGCGUUCUGCGUUGUAAACUUCUUUUAUUAGGGAAGAAACCUGAUUUUUCUAAAUCAGCCGACGGUACCUAAGGAAUAAGCACCGGCUAACUCCGUGCCAGCAGCCGCGGUAAUACGGAGGGUGCAAGCGUUAUCCGGAUUUACUGGGUUUAAAGGGUGUGUAGGCGGACUUUUAAGUCCGUGGUGAAAUCUCCGGGCUCAACCCGGAAACUGCCAUGGAUACUAUUGGUCUUGAAUAUUGUUGAGGUGGGCGGAACGGGUCAUGUAGCGGUGAAAUGCAUAGAUAUGACCCGGAACACCGAUUGCGAAGGCAGCCCACUAAGCAAUGAUUGACGCUGAGGCACGAAAGCGUGGGGAUCAAACAGG
rnacentral:rRNA from 1 species